rnacentral:rRNA from 1 species
UACGUAGGUGGCAAGCGUUGUCCGGAUUUACUGGGCGUAAAGAGCGCGCAGGCGGUCGUACAAGUCGCGUGUGAAAGCCCCCGGCUCAACUGGGGAGGGUCACGCGAUACUGUUCGACUCGAAGGCAGGAGAGGGAAGCAGAAUUCCCGGUGUAGUGGUGAAAUGCGUAGAUAUCGGGAGGAAUACCAGUGGCGAAGGCGGGUCUCUGGACAGUUCCUGACGCUGAGGCACGAAGGUCAGGGGAGCAAACGGG